rnacentral:lncRNA from 1 species
UCGGGGCUCCGGAAAGCCGUCCGCGCCUCCAGCCGCACUUUCAGCGCACGCAGGACCUGCCGCGCCCGGUGGCCACACCCGUCCCUCUGCCGGGUGACGCUGCGGGAGAUCUUGCGCCCUGGGGCUCCGGAUCCAGUUCUGGAAGAAAUCCUUAUCUUUCCAACGCUGAGAUGCCUCUGCCGAAGAGUAGAAUGGGAGACAGAGAAACGGAGGCACAGAGAAGGAAGCGGCAGGUAAAGCUGUGAAGAACCUAACAAAUUUCAAGAUUGUAAGUGCCUUUUCCCAGGAUGCCAGCAAGUACUGAGGCAAGCCUGUAUUUUGAGCUGCGUCAAACCCUGUUGGAAUAAAAAAGGACAUUUCUAGGAGAUCAGUCUUCAAGAUUGGCCCCAGUUUCCCCAGAGUAGGAAGAGGCAGGAAGCCAGAGCACAUGUUCUCUCCAGA